UGGAAAAGGAACUAGGGUUCGGAGGACGUUUGGCUUUGGCACGGCCGCAGCCUCCGGACGUCGAAGCUCUAUUUUCUGAGGAUCUCUGGCACUGCCAUGGUGAGAACAGCUUGAAGGGGCCAAGAGCAGAAGCCGGGAGAGCCAGGAGGCUACUGCAGUAAUCCAGGCUGGAGGUGACGGUGGCUUGGACUGGAAGAGGUCAGAUUCUGGAUGUAUUUUGAAGGCAGAGUCGGGCACAUUUACUGAUUGGAUAAGCGUGAGAGAGACAAGAUGGUGGAGUAGAAGGACUUGAGCUCACCUUCUCUCACGAAAGCACCAAAAAUCACAACUAACUGCUGAACAACCAUCGACUAAAAAGACUGAAACCUGCUGAAAAAGAUAGUCUACAUCCAAAGACAAAGAAGGAGCCACAACAAGACAAUAGGAGCGGCGCUUUUGCGAUGUAAUCAAAUCCAAUACCCGCCAGGUGGGCGACCCACAAACUGGAAAAUAAUUAUAUCGCAGAGGUUCUCCCACAGGAGUGAGAGUUUUGAGCCCCACAUCAGGCUCCCCAGACUGGGGGUCUGGCAUGGGGAGGAGGAGCCCCAGAGCAUUUGGCUUUGAAGGCCAGUGGGCUUGAGUGCAGAAGCUCCACAGGACUGGGGGAAAUAGACUCCACUCUUGGAGGGCACACACAAGGUUUCACAUACAUUGGAACCCAGGGCAAAGCAGUGACUCCAUAGGACCCUGGGCCACACCUACCUGCGGGUCUUUGAGGGUCUCCUAGGGAGGCAGGGGUCACCCGUGGCUGACUGUAGGGGCAAGGACACUGCUGGUGGAGGCCCCAGAGAAUAUUCAUUGGUGUGAGCUCUCCUGGAGGCCACCAUUUUGGCAUUGAGAUCUGGCUCCACCCAACAGCCUGCAGGCUCCAGUGCUGGGACCCCUCAGGCCCAACAACCAGCAGGGUGGGAACAUGCCCCCUCCCCCCACCCCCAACAGCAGACAGGCUGCCUACUGUUGUCCUGAGUGCACACCUGCCUCUAAACAUACCCUGUGUCACGGCUGUGCCCACCACAGGGACAAGACCCAGCUCCACCUGCCAGGGGGUGGGCACCAGUCCUUCCCACAAGGAAGCCUGCACAAACCCCUGGACCAGCCUCACUCACCAGGGGGCAGACACCAGAAGCAGGAGGAACUACAAACCUGCAGCCUGAGAAACGGAGAACACAAACACAGAAAGUUAGACAAAAUGAGAUGGCAGAGAAAUAUGUUCCAGACGAAGGAACGAGAUAAAACGCCAGACAAACUACUAAGUGAAGUGGAGAUAGGCAAUCUGCCUGAAAAAGAAUUCAGAGUAACAGUAGUGAAGGUGAUUCAAGAUCUCGGAAAAAGAAUGGAGGCGCAGACCAAGAAGAUACAAGAAAUGUUUAACAAAGAGCUAGAAGAUUUAAAGAACGAACAGAGAGAGAUGAAUACAAUAAUUGGAAGAAUGAAAUAUACACUAGAAGGAAUCAAUAGAAGAAUAAAUGAGGCAGAAGAAUGAAUAAGUGAGGUGGAAGACACAUUGGUGGAAAUCAUUGUUGCAGAUCAGAAUAAUGAAAUGUGUUUUUGUCUGUUUUUUCUUUGCCUCUGCCUCUAUCUCUUCCUCUCCUCUUUUUUCCAGUGAGUUUGGUAUCAUUACCCUCUUUUACAUACAAGAAAACUGAGGCACAGCAUGAUUAGGUAACUUGCUCCAAGUCACACAGCCUGAAAGUGGGAGCUCUGGGACAUACAACUCAACAUCAAAAAACCAAAUGAGCUGAUUUUAAAAAUGGGCAGAAGCCUGGAAUAGACAUUUUUCCAAAGAAGAAAUGCAGGUGGCCAACAUGUACAUGAAAAGAUGCUCACCAUCGCUGAUCAUCAGGGAGAUGCAAAUGAGAACGAGAUAUCACUUCACACCUGUCAGAAUGGCCAUCAUCAAAAAAGAACACAAAUAACAAAUGCUGGAGAGGUGUGGAGAAAUGGGCACCCUGAUCUCCUGUUGAUGGGAAUGCAAAUUGGUGCAGCCACUGUGGAAAACAGUAUGGAGGUUUCUCAAAAAACUAAAAACAGAGCUACCAUAGGACCCAGCAAUUCCACUCCUGGGAAUAUAUUUGAAAAAAACAAAAACACUAAUUUGAAAAGAUACAUGCAGUGUUCAUAGCAGCAUUAUUUACAAUUACCGAGAUGUGGAAGCAACCUAAGUGUCCGCCAACGGAUGAAUGGAUAAAAAGGAUGUGGUGUAUAUAUAUACACACACCACGCACAACAGAAUACUAUUCAGCUAUAAAAAAGGAUGAAAUUUGCCAUUUUCAGCAAUAUGAUCGGACUUGGAGGCCAUUACGCUAAGUGAAGUAAGUCAGACAGAGAAAGACAAACACUGUAUGGUACCACAGGUGGAAUCUAAAAAAUACAACAAGCUAGUGAAUACAACAGAAAAGAAGCAGAUUCACAGAUAUCGGGAACAAAUCAGUUGUUACAAGUGGGGCAAGGGGAAGGGGGAGGGGCAAUAUAGAGGAGUAAGAGGUACAAACUACUGUGUAUAAAAUAAGCUACAAGCAUAUAUUGUACAACAGAGGGAAUCUAGCCAAUAUUUUAUAAUAACUAUGAAUGGAGCAUAAUCUUAAAAAAUUGUGAAUCACUAUGUUGUAUGCCUGUAACAUAUAAAAUUGUACAUCAACUAUACUUCAGUAAAAAAAAACUCUUAAAAAAUCUCUUAAUAAAAGAAGGUGGGAGCUGGGAUUUAAAGUCAGGCAGUCUGUCUUCAGAGCCCCGGUGCUUAACCAUUAAGUUCUCCUUUCUCUGCAAACCUGUAUCUCCUACCCAGUUCUCUCCCUGAAUUGCUGUUGUUCAAACCACCCAAUCUAUGGUAUUUUGUUGUGGCAGCCUGAGCUGACUCAUACACAUAGGUAUGUCCAGGUGGCUUAUUUAUGACUCGGGGUGUGUUCUGAGUAGUUGAGCAUCCAGUUCUGAUUGGUUGGCUUCUGUGCUCUUCAGGUAUAAAAUAUUUUGAGUAUUACCCCUGCAUGUAAUUAUAGGCUAACACACCUUAGUCACCCCACCCCUGUGACAGUGAUCUGUUUGAGGGCAAGAACUAUGUCUUACUCAUCGAUGUUUCCCAAGGCCCCAGUAAAUGUUUAUUGAAUGACUGAAUCCAUCUUAUUCUUCCUCCACAAAUAAAAACAUCAUUCUCGUGAAGGACAUAAAGCUCUGGGCAUCCCUAUGUGAUUUAAUAUCCCUGUCCUCAUUUUUGCCCUGGUUUUUCUGGGUAUGUUUCUUGGUAUGAUUCUAGGUAGGGCUAGCCCUGGGCAGGAGGGUCCUGCCCCACAUUGAAAGUGUGACCUGAGGAGCUGUAAAGCCAUAGGAUCUGGAUGAAGGCAACUCACAUGUUAUCAUGCACGCAUGUGCCUGUACUGUGUGCAUUGCAGUCGUCUUCUGUGUAAUGGUGAGAGAAUUAGAAGCUUGAGAAGGUAGAAAAACAUUUAAAUAUCAAAGAAAACCUUAUUCUUCUACAGAAGUGGGGUGGAAUAAUAGAAAGAAUACAGACUCUAGUAUCAGGAGAUCUGAGUUUAGCUUUGGAUUUUACUACUUACAAAUCUAAGUUAUUACCUACUAAUUAAAGUAUAUC